GGGGUUGUGGCUCAGGGGUAGAGUGCUCACCUAGCAUGCUUGAGGCACGGAGUUCGAUCCUCAGCCCCA
rnacentral:tRNA from 1 species